rnacentral:rRNA from 1 species
GUCCACGCCCUAAACGAUGAUUACUCGAUGUGUGCGAUAUACUGUACGCGUCUGAGCGAAAGCAUUAAGUAAUCCACCUGGGGAGUACGACCGCAAGAUUGAAACUCAAAGGAAUUGACGGGGGCCCGCACAAGCGGAGGAGCAUGUGGUUUAAUUCGAUGAUACGCGAGGAACCUUACCUGGGCUUGAAAGUUAGUGAAGCAAAGCAGAAACGUUUGCGUUCGAAAGAACACGAAACUAGGUGCUGCAUGGCUGUCGU